GACGAACGCUGGCGGCGUGCCUAAUACAUGCAAGUAGAACGCUGAAGGAGGAGCUUGCUUCUCUGGAUGAGUUGCGAACGGGUGAGUAACGCGUAGGUAACCUGCCUGGUAGCGGGGGAUAACUAUUGGAAACGAUAGCUAAUACCGCAUAAUAUUGACUAUUGCAUGAUAGUCAAUUAAAAGGUGCAAUUGCAUCACUACCAGAUGGACCUGCGUUGUAUUAGCUAGUUGGUGGGGUAACGGCUCACCAAGGCGACGAUACAUAGCCGACCUGAGAGGGUGAUCGGCCACACUGGGACUGAGACACGGCCCAGACUCCUACGGGAGGCAGCAGUAGGGAAUCUUCGGCAAUGGACGGAAGUCUGACCGAGCAACGCCGCGUGAGUGAAGAAGGUUUUCGGAUCGUAAAGCUCUGUUGUAAGAGAAGAACGAGUGUGAGAGUGGAAAGUUCACAC
rnacentral:rRNA from 1 species